rnacentral:tRNA from 1 species
AAGUAAGAAACGAUAAUAUUGUAAUCAGUUUCGACCUGGCACUUAGGUGAUAAUCACCCUUACUUG